rnacentral:rRNA from 1 species
CCUUCAUGAAGUCGGAAUUGCUAGUAAUGGCAGGUCAGCAUACUGCCGUGAAUACGUUCCCGGGCCUUGUACACACCGCCCGUCACACCAUGAGAGUUGGAGAUACCCGAAGCCUGUGAGCUAACUUUUAGAGGCAGCAGUCGAAGGUAGAAUCAAUGAUUGGGGUGAAGUCGUAACAAGGUAGC